rnacentral:rRNA from 1 species
UACAGAGGUCCCCAAGCGUUGUUCGGAUUCACUGGGCGUAAAGGGUGCGUAGGUGGCUUGGUAAGUUCGAUGUGAAAUCUCCGGGCUUAACCCGGAAAUGGCAUUGAAUACUAUUGAGCUGGAGGUUUGGAGGGGGGACUGGAAUUCUCGGUGUAGCAGUGAAAUGCGUAGAUAUCGAGAGGAACACCAGUGGCGAAGGCGAGUCCCUGGACAACACCUGACACUGAGGCACGAAAGCUAGGGGAGCAAACAGG